rnacentral:rRNA from 1 species
UACGGGGGGAGCAAGCGUUGUUCGGAUUUACUGGGCGUAAAGGGCGCGUAGGCGGCCGUGCAAGUCGGUUGUGAAAUCUCCGGGCUUAACUCGGAACGGUCAACUGAUACUGCUCGGCUAGAGUGCGGAAGGGGCAACUGGAAUUCUUGGUGUAGCGGUGAAAUGCGUAGAUAUCAAGAGGAACACCUGCGGCGAAGGCGGGUUGCUGGGCCGACACUGACGCUGAAGUGCGAAAGCCAGGGGAGCGAACGGG